rnacentral:tRNA from 1 species
AGGGGCUUAGCUCAGUUGGUAGAGCGCUGGUCUCCAAAACCAGAUGUCGUCGGUUCGAGCCCGGCAGCCCCUGCCA